rnacentral:rRNA from 1 species
GACGAACGCUGGCGGCGUGCUUAACAGAUGCAAGUCGAGCGAGCAGAUUCCCUUCGGGGAUGAAGCUAGCGGCGGACGGGUGAGUAACACGUGGGCAACCUGCCUUAUAGAGGGGGAUAGCCUUCCGAAAGGAAGAUUAAUACCGCAUAACAUCCGAUUAUCGCAUGGUAGACUGAUCAAAGGAGCAAUCCGCUAUAAGAUGGGCCCGCGUCGCAUUAGCUAGUUGGUGAGGUAACGGCUCACCAAGGCGACGAUGCGUAGCCGACCUGAGAGGGUGAUCGGCCACAUUGGGACUGAGACACGGCCCAGACUCCUACGGGAGGCAGCAGUGGGGAAUAUUGCACAAUGGGGGAAACCCUGAUGCAGCAACGCCGCGUGAGUGAUGAAGGCCUUCGGGUUGUAAAGCUCUUUGAUCAGGGACGAUAAUGACGGUACCUGAAGAACAAGCCACGGCUAACUACGUGCCAGCAGCCGCAGUAAUAC